rnacentral:sRNA from 1 species
AUUAGAAAUAAAGCGUAUGUAAAUACGAAACACAAAUUAGUCAGUUUUCCGUCGUCCAAAAUACAAUGUCAAUUAAAAA